UCAGACGAUGCGUCAUGCAUAUCAAUAAGCGGAGGAAAAGAAACUAACAAGGAUUCCCCUAGUAACGGCGAGUGAAGCGGGAAGAGCUCAAAUUUGAAAUCUUAAAGGGUUUCCCUUUACGAAUUGUAGUUUAAAGAAGUGUUUUCUGUUGAGGUUUUGGUAAAAGUUCUUUGGAAUAGGACAUCAUAGAGGGUGAGAAUCCCGUAUUUGACCUUUACUUUCAACUUUGAUGAUACACUUUCAAAGAGUCGGAUUGUUUGGGAAUGCAGUCCAAAAUGGGUGGUAAAUUUCAUCUAAAGCUAAAUAUUGGCGAGAGACCGAUAGCGAACAAGUACCGUGAGGGAAAGAUGAAAAGAACUUUGAAAAGAGAGUUAAACAGUACGUGAAAUUGUCAAAAGGGAAGCGUUUGACACCAGUGUUGUUUUUCUGAAAAUCAAUUAAAGAACUGUUUAUGCUAAGCUGUUUAGACUUUAUCAGCUAAUCUGUUUAGUUUUGAGCUUUUCUUUAAUGCACUUUUCAGUUAACAAGUCAACAUCAAUUUCUUUUGCUGUAAAAAAGCUUGAGGAAGGUGGCUUGAGAUUCGUCUUAAGUGUUUAUAGCCUCUUGCCUAUGCAGUCGGAGAGAUUGAGGUCUGCAGCGUAGAUCCUUCGGGGCUAAAUGCAUUUGUGCUAAGUUAUAGCAUUUUAUAGACAACUUGUUGACUAUGAUUUGUCUUGUAGCUUACUCGCUUAUGUUAUUUUACCUACGCUUAGGAUGUUGACACACGCGCGUGCUCG
rnacentral:rRNA from 1 species